rnacentral:rRNA from 1 species
AUUGAACGCUGGCGGCAGGCCUAACACAUGCAAGUCGAACGAGUGGCGGACGGGUGAGUAAUGUCUGGGAAACUGCCUGAUGGCGGGGGAUAACUACUGGAAACGGUAGCUAAUACCGCAUACCAUCAGAUGUGCCCAGAUGGGAUUAGCUGGUUGGUGGGGUAACGGCUCACCAAGGCGACCAUCCCUAGCUGGUCUGAGAGGAUGACCGGCCACACGGGAACUGGGACACGGUCCAGACUCCUACGGGAGGCAGCAGUGGGGAAUAUUGAAAAAGGGGCGCAAGCCGAAUGCAGCCAUGCCGCGUGUAUGAAGAAGGCCUUCGGGUUGUAAAGUACUUUCAGCGGGGAGGCGUUACCCGCCGAAGAAGCACCGGCUAACUCCGUGCCAGCAGCCGCGGUAAUAC